rnacentral:lncRNA from 10 species
GAGCUCGGCGCGACCCUCGGGCCCACCGGGCCACGCUCGCCCGGCCCGCGACGCCCCCCCGCUGUCGCCUGGCCCGCGACGCACCGAGGCCUGAGGACCCGAAAGCCGGGCGCGGGGAGAUGACCGGUGGCUCGUGACGGUCCCACGGGCAAAAUCUUCCAUCGCCCGGGGCUGAGACUUGUCAAACUGCCCUCUACGGUCACCCGGAAAGUAGGAGGCUUUUUCUGCAGAGGGGAAAAAAAUCAAAAAGAGCCGUUCCAUCCCCCCUCCAAGGACUGGGUUUGAAUUGCUUUUCAUCUGCAGUGGCUGUGAUUCAGCGUCCCUCUUAGCAGCAGGCAAUGACAGAGGCAGGAGAGGGGAAAAAAAAAAAGAAAGAAAGAAAAAACACAGCAAAUGAAUCAAACGGACCAGGUAGCAGGCAAGAGUGUGGUUAUCGUUGGACCAGGAUUCAGGAUCUGACUGAGUAGCUGACUCUUAAUCCAGUUUGUGUUGAUCACCAGGAGGAUCUGGACCUCAGUAUUACCACAUCUAGAGCUAUAAUCACAUCCCUGUUAAGCCUUCCUGAGAUCACACCAAAUGUCCUUGAUGGGAAUUGUAAACAACCCUUACUUCUGGUUUCUAAUGAUAUUCCAGGAAAGGAGCCUAACUAGAGUCAGUGAAAGGCCAUCCUAGGAAACAAUCCCAUGAGUGAUGUUUCAUGAAUUAUCUUCGUGAACCGGAGCAAGUCGCUUUGCCUUCCUGAACCUUCUCUGAGAUGGAAGGGUGAUCUGAAAAUAUGCCUCCCGG